rnacentral:piRNA from 1 species
UUGGAUUUUCUGCAUUUUACUUAGGGGAC